UACGUAGGGCGCAAGCGUUAUCCGGAAUUAUUGGGCGUAAAGAGCUCGUAGGCGGUUUGUCGCGUCUGCCGUGAAAGUCCGGGGCUCAACUCCGGAUCUGCGGUGGGUACGGGCAGACUAGAGUGAUGUAGGGGAGACUGGAAUUCCUGGUGUAGCGGUGAAAUGCGCAGAUAUCAGGAGGAACACCGAUGGCGAAGGCAGGUCUCUGGGCAUUAACUGACGCUGAGGAGCGAAAGCAUGGGGAGCGAACAGGAUAGA
rnacentral:rRNA from 1 species